AGGAUAUUAAAGAUCUAUCAGUCUAUUUUAAGUGAGUACAAGUUUCAUAUUCAUAUUUAUUUUGUAGACUUAGAUAAGUCACUUGGAAGGUCGGUUGUUUGCUGGAAACUCUGAACUGGUUUAUGAAAACAGAGCUCCACUUCCAAUUGAUAAUUAAUUAAUCAAAUGAAGUGAUAUGAACCUGAAACUUGUGGAUUCUGAAACUUAGGGAUGUUGACUGUAAUCUCACCAAAAUUUAGAAGCAACGGAUUAGAAUUGAAAUUAUUAUGGAAUUUAUAAAAAACAAGGCUGCAU